UACGUAGGGUGCGAGCGUUAAUCGGAAUUACCGGGCGUAAAGCGUGCGCAGGCGGUUCGUUAAGUCAGCUGUGAAAGCCCCGGGCUCAACCUGGGAACUGCGGUUGAAACUGGCGAACUAGAAUCUGGCAGAGGGGGGUGGAAUUCCACGUGUAGCAGUGAAAUGCGUAGAGAUGUGGAGGAACACCGAUGGCGAAGGCAGCCCCCUGGGCUAAGAUUGACGCUCAGGCACGAAAGCGUGGGGAGCAAACAGG
rnacentral:rRNA from 1 species